rnacentral:siRNA from 1 species
GUAUAGAUCUUCUGAACCAAA